GACGAACGCUGGCGGCGUGCUUAACACAUGCAAGUCGAACGGUAAGGCCCUUCGGGGUACACGAGUGGCGAACGGGUGAGUAACACGUGGGUGAUCUGCCCUGCACUUCGGGAUAAGCCUGGGAAACUGGGUCUAAUACCGGAUAGGACCACUGCCUGCAUGGGUGGUGGUGGAAAGCUUUUGCGGUGUGGGAUGGGCCCGCGGCCUAUCAGCUUGUUGGUGGGGGGAUGGCCUACCAAGGCGACGACGGGUAGCCGGCCUGAGAGGGUGACCGGCCACACUGGGACUGAGACACGGCCCAGACUCCUACGGGAGGCAGCAGUGGGGAAUAUUGCACAAUGGGCGCAAGCCUGAUGCAGCAACGCCGCGUGCGGGAUGACGGCCUUCGGGUUGUAAACCGCUUUUAGUAGGGAAGAAGCCUUCGGGUGACGGUACCUGCAGAAAAAGGACCGGCUAACUACGUGCCAGCCGCCGCAGUAA
rnacentral:rRNA from 1 species